ACGUUACCUUGCUGUGAUGUGUUUAUUGUCCGUCGACGUCCGUGUGCGGUGCAGGGGGAAGCUAGCGGCUCUUCACAGCGCAGUAUGGUGUGUUCAGGGACACUUCGGAAAAAACCCUUCGUGUCCCCUGCGCUGUGAACCAACAGCUUUUAAAACCAACGUGUUGGGAUGUUUUUGCACGAUCAUUUCCAAAUUUAUCCCACAAGAUUAUCACGAGGCUUUUGUUGUAUUUCAUACAUGGUGUGAUGAAGUAACAUAUAUUUAAAAAUCUCAUUUAGACAUAUUAUCAAAUAAAAAUCUUAAAUGGUUGGAUGGUCAGAUUUUUUUAUCAUUUAAAAUGAUCUAUGGACAAGAUUGGGGUCAAAAAUCUCAAUGUUCCCAUAAUCAAUAUUUUCAGCUGUAAAAAAUAUUCGAGUCUGACUUCUGUAAAUUAUGAUUACGGUAUUUGAAACCACUGGUGAAGGCAUCGCCCUCAGAAACAAAACAACGUCCAGUUUUCUGUAGCUGUGAUUGGGAGAGACUGUCUGACUGAGGCCAACAUUUAUGGGGCUAAAUUUUUUUGGUAAUUUAAAGAAAAUAUUUGAAACAAUAAAUGUGUUCAAAAUGUGUAGGAAAGUUUUUUGUUUUUUUUUCAAAUCAAAUAUUAUUUUUGAUACAAUUCUGGAAUUUAGAUCAAAUUUUUUUCAGUUCAGGCUUUUGACACUGAUCUGGCCUGGGGGCGUGGUGUCCACUGAGAGGGCCGUGUGGACAGCGUGACAACCAUGGAUAGAUUAUAUUAAAAUAUUUAGUUUUCGUCAUUUAGAUUGUUUACCAACCCUCACCUGGAAUAAAAGUGUAAACUUGUAAGAAAUCUCUCAUCUUCACCAAAGGUAGAGGUAAAGGUGUGGCAAAUGACUUGGCUGGACAUGCGUUUCCCAAAAAAAAAAAUCCCACAGGAGCUGUUGCCUCAUUCAGUUGAAGCAGCAGAACGUCACAGCCAACAGCUGGGAUCCUCAAUGACAACAUUUUCUACUUUUGGAGUUUACUCUACAUUACAUUUACAACUGAACAGGAAAAAACUUACAGUUGAGAAUCAGUUUGUGGAGAAAUAUUCAGACAUUUCAGACUUAUUCUCUAGAGCAGUGAAUGAUGACUUUGCUCCAUACAAAGAGGCAUUGCUUUAUCUCAUAACCAUAACCACGCGCAAUGUGUGAAAAGCCAUUUGCUCUAUUUAAAAUUACAGAAUCUUAACUAGUAACAAGACCCAUUAAUUAGUGGCAAUGGGUGUUUGGUAAACAAAAGUUUUAAUAUCAGUGAUGUCGACAACAAAGUUUUUUUUAACUUCCUUUUAUGAUGAACAUAACACCAAUAUGACAUCAUCCAGCCUUAACAUGUAAAUAAAUUCACAUCAGUAGUAGGCUAUUUGAUGAAACUCGAAAUUAAAUACAACAUGCCUGUGAGUAUAAAAGUACAAAAUGUCACUCCUCAUCAAAAAGGGAUCUCAGAACAGAAAAUGCCUCCGACAGACCAUGUACUUCAAGUAUGUUGUUAUCUGCGGUGCUCACUCUACAUUUUGCACAGUGCACAGAGGUCUCCUGCCACUGUUCCACACAUGGUUUGCAGCCAAUAAUACUUUGGCAACACUGUGUGAAGACUGGCUCCUCGAUGAACUCUGAAAAACAAAAUGGGAAAAACUAUUCAUUCUCUCAUUGUGUGUGCGUGCGUGCGUGCGUGCGUGCGUGCGUGUUAUAUGUGCGUGUUGUGUGUCCCCAACUGUCCUUAAAGUGUUUUUGAUGUAAUGGAUACAUUUUCUUUUUACCCAACUUUUAUGAUUUAAAAAAUGUCUGUUAUUCCAUCAAUACACGGGCUGUUAAACAAAGGUUUGCAGUUUGCAUCAGCACAUGCAAUUAAACUGUAAUGAAUGAGACACAACUGACCUUGGUUAGAGAAUGUAAAAAAAAAAAUGUCUGCCUCACACCAAAUAAAAUUGUUCCAAAAUGA